rnacentral:tRNA from 1 species
UGCGCUUGUAGCUCAGUUGGAUAGAGCGCCGCCCUCCGGAGGCAGAGGUCUCAGGUUCGAAUCCCUCCAAGCGCGU